AGUGAACGCUGGCGGUAGGCCUAACACAUGCAAGUCGAGCGGCAGCACAGUAAGAGCUUGCUCUUACGGGUGGCGAGUGGCGGACGGGUGAGGAAUACAUCGGAAUCUACUUUUUCGUGGGGGAUAACGUAGGGAAACUUACGCUAAUACCGCAUACGACCUACAGGUGAAAGCAGGGGAUCUUCGGACCUUGCGCGAUUGAAUGAGCCGAUGUCGGAUUAGCUAGUUGGCGGGGUAAAGGCCCACCAAGGCGACGAUCCGUAGCUGGUCUGAGAGGAUGAUCAGCCACACUGGAACUGAGACACGGUCCAGACUCCUACGGGAGGCAGCAGUGGGGAAUAUUGGACAAUGGGCGCAAGCCUGAUCCAGCCAUACCGCGUGGGUGAAGAAGGCCUUCGGGUUGUAAAGCCCUUUUGUUGGGAAAGAAAAGCAGCAGGUUAAUACCCCGCUGUUCUGACGGUACCCAAAGAAUAAGCACCGGCUAACUUCGUG
rnacentral:rRNA from 1 species